GGAUCAGAACUCGGUCCUCCUGUUGCAGGGGAACCUCGCUCACGGCAGGAGCUCCGCGUACCCGCUGGGCUCCCUGCCGGCUCCCCCGGGCACGCACAGCCUCCCGGGCCAUCAGCUCCAGGACUCGCUGCUGGGGCCGCUCACCUCCAGCCUGGUGGACCUGGGCUCCUAAAGGGCUCCGCUCGCGGACACGGACUCUCGGUUGUAUAUAGUGGACGGUGAUCCUGAACGUGACUUCGGCUCUUCUCCACGGUCUCAGCUCCAGCCAAACGCAGAGAGCGGCAGAAAGCCCUCAGCCUUUCGAGUUCAAGUGAGCGGGAAUUACAACAACAGAAAGAGAAAUGAAAGGGAAGAGGGUGGGGAAAACAAUCCAACCCCAAACCCCGGAUCCCCAUUGUGCCCCAUAAAUCCCAACUGAUGCGGCCCAGAGGCAGAGGGAGCACAGGGCCCUUUGUGGCAGUAGGAGGAGGGAGGGGAACUUUUCGUUUACAUUUCUUUUUUUUCAUAUUUAGCUUCACCGGAAGGAUUUCGAUGUAGUUUAAAAUUAAAAAAGAAAAAAAUAUAUAUAUAUAAUUAGGAAGCGGCAGUAUGAGGGUUUUACCAAGUGCCUAUGUCUUAACGCGGCGGUGCUGCUCCCCGGCCGGGACACGCAGCGAUUCGGCUUCACAUUAGGAGAAGAACAACAGCGAUAAUAAAUGCGGACGGCCCCUUCCUUCUGCAGGAGCGCCUCUCUCUCUGUCUGCCCCCCCUCUUCCCCCCCAACCCCCAGCUCUGCCUCUCAGUGAGCCCGCAGCUGUCUGCCUCGAGUCUGUGUUACCGACCUCGCGUGUGCUUUCAGGUUUCUUUUCUAUUGUACCCACACAGCCGAAAUUAAACACCGCUGAUGGCAGAACCCUG